UACAUGAUUUUCAAACCGGAACUUACCCUAGAGAGGUUUUCGGACCUUUGUUUCGCUAGUUAGCAAGCACAGCCACUAUAUCAAAAUGACGAUGUCGUAAAAAUGUAUGAAAACAAAAAAUGUGAUGUAAGGGUUAUGCACAAGAUUAACAGUGGGUUAAGGUUCGGUAUAUAUCACAUUUUAAGAUGAUCAAAUAGGCGGGGUUUAUGACUGACUAGUGACGAACCUAUCUUUCGUACAAAUCAGUUCUGAAAUCGUUAUACAGCACAAACACUUGACAACUACAAGACAUCAUAGCAUAACCGAAAGUUCACAAUGAGUGAGGAACACUACCGCGAACUUUGAAAACCCUGUGCAAUUUGAAAAUGCGUCAAAUGUGUUUUUCGACGAAGCGAAUAAACAGGUGUUUGCAGUACGUUCAGGGGGUGCCACUGGGGUUGUGGUUAAAGGACCAGAUGACAAAAACUCAGUUGCCUUCAGAAUGGAUGACAAAGGAGAGGUGAAGUGCAUUAAGUUUUCGAUCGGAAAUAAGAUUUUGGCUGUCCAGAGAACACCAAAAUCUGUGGAUUUCAUAAGCUUCAUACCGGAUUAUCCGCAUUUGGAAUGCUCCCAGGAAUGUAAGAUGAAGAAUGCCAGUAUUUUGGGCUUCUGUUGGACCAACUGGAAUGAAAUCGUUCUCAUCACUGACCAGGGAAUUGAGGUCUACCAGGUGCUUCCUGACAAACGCAACCUGAAGUUGCUGAAGAGUCAGAGCAUCAAUGUGAACUGGUACAUGUACUGUCCUGAGACUGCAGUCAUCCUGCUCUCUACCACCGCCCAGGGCAACGUGCUGCAGCCGUUUGCCUUCAAAUACCUGCAGAGUGGGACCAUGUCUAAAAUGCCCAAGUUUGAGAUCGAGCUUCCAGUGGUUCCCAAGCCAGCCAAGCUCAAUCUGACAGAGAGGGACAUUGCUGUGGCCACCAUUUACGGUCAGCUGUAUGUAAUGUAUCUGAAGCAUCACUCCAGAACUACUGACGGUCCCUGUGCUGAGGUGGUCCUCUAUCAGCUACCCAGGGAGGGAUCCUGUAAGAAGACCAACGUGUUGAAACUCAACACCACAGGGAAGUUUGCCCUCAACGUGGUGGAUAACCUGGUUGUUGUGCAUCAUCAGAGCUCUCAGACCUCCAUCAUAUUUGACAUCAAGCUGCGGGAGCCUAACUGCCCUUAACGUCCAUCAGCCUGUGUUGCCUGGUCGCUCCAUCCACCCCUAUAGGAUUCCCCUAACAGGUCUUGCUGCUGUACCCACCCAGCCUCCUGUGCCUUGUGAACUCUACUCCUCAUCUUGGAGCGUCUUUCAACCCGAUAUCAUCAUCAGUGCAAGCGAAGGCCUCCCCAGUGGCGCAGCGGGAUUGAGGAGGACGCAUGACUCAACCUUCACCUCUCCCGAGCCCUUUGGGGAGUUGCUCAACGGGGGAGAUAAGGGGGGCUUACCAGUGGUGGCCACAGUGUUCGACAAACUCAACCAAGUUUACAAAGAGUACUUGGAGGCAGAGCAGACCUACACUGUGGCUACGGAGUCUGGUCCCAGCCGAGGCAGCGCUGCUCGGGAGAGGCCCGUCCGGAGGCAGGCGGUAAUCGACCAGUCAGACAUGUACACCCACGUCCUGUCCUCCUUCUCUGAGAAAAAGGACACAUCUCACAAGUUUAUAAUUGCUGUGCUGAUGGAGUACAUUCGCUCACUCAACCAGGUCCAGAUCACCGUGCAGCAUUACCUGUAUGAGCUGGUCAUUAAGAUGUUGGUUCAGCACAACCUCCUCUACAUGCUCCAUCAGUUCCUCCAGUACCACGUCCUCAACGACUCCAAGCCACUGGCCUGUUUGCUGCUGUCUCUAGAAAGCACAUACCCCCCUGCACACCAGCUUUCCCUGGAUAUGUUGAAGAGACUGUCCACAGCCAAUGAUGAGAUCGUGGAGGUGCUCCUGUCCAGACAGCAGGUGCUGGGUGCCGUGCGCUUCAUCCACAGCGUGGGUGGCCACGACAACAUCUCCGCCCGCAAGUUCCUAGACGCGGCAUGCCAGACGGCCGACCAGAUGCUCUUCUACACCAUCUUCCGGUUCUUCGAGCAGAGGAACCUGCGUCUGAGAGGCAACCCCAGCUUCAACCCAGGUGAGCACUGUGAGGAGCAUGUGGUAUACUUCAAGCAAGUUUUCGGGGAGCAGGCACUCAUGAAGCAAGUAACAGUUUGAGUCGAGACAUAUUUUAUCUUAUCCCACAGUCCAUUAACUUAUUGUAAAUAAUUGUUCAAAUCAUGCUAAUAAAAUCAUUUGUACAUAUUCUAACAAUCAA